UCCCUGGUAGCUCAGACGGUAAAGCGUCUGUCUACAAUGCAGGAGACCCGGGUUCGAUCCCUGGGUUGGAAA
rnacentral:tRNA from 1 species